GCAGACACAUUCCAGCCAAUCAGCAGCAGACCCUCCCUCCCAGACCCUCCCACCUCCUUUACAGCUCACUAAGAAUGCAGCUUCACAAUGAAUAUAAAAUGGAUGCUGUCCAGGAGGUGGGAGGGUCUGGGAGGGAGGGUCUGCUGCUGAUUGGCUGGAAUGUGUCUG
rnacentral:miRNA from 1 species